rnacentral:rRNA from 1 species
GAUGAACGCUGACAGAAUGCUUAACACAUGCAAGUCAACUUGAACUUCGGUUUGGGUGGCGGACGGGUGAGUAACGCGUAACGAACUUGCCUCACAGAUAGGGACAACAUUUGGAAACGAAUGCUAAUACCUGAUAUUAUGAUUAUAUGGCAUCGUAUAAUUAUGAAAGCUAUAUGCGCUGUGAGAGAGCUUUGCGUCCCAUUAGCUAGUUGGAGAGGUAACGGCUCACCAAGGCGAUGAUGGGUAGCCGGCCUGAGAGGGUGAUCGGCCACAAGGGGACUGAGACACGGCCCGUACUCCUACGGGAGGCAGCAGUGGGGAAUAUUGGACAAUGGACCAAGAGUCUGAUCCAGCAAUUCUGUGUGCACGAUGAAGUUUUUCGGAAUGUAAAGUGCUUUCAGUUGGGAAGAAAAAAAUGACGGUACCAACAGAAGAAGUGACGGCUAAAUACGUG